rnacentral:misc_RNA from 1 species
AAAGUCGUAACAAGGUUUCCGUAGGUGAACCUGCGGAAGGAUCAUUAAUAAAUAAUCCAAAAUAUGGAUUUAAACAAUCCAUACACCUUUUGUGAACUGUAAUCUGUCCAUUGCUUUUUUUCCUUUCUCGGGUUUUAAUGUCUACAGUUUGUAGCGUUGAAGAUGAAAAUUUUCGACAAAACUGCUGGCGACAUUACCCGGGGGAGGGAAGGGCAAUACUAAACACUUUAUUUUUUAAUAUGUUGUCUGAAGUAAAAGAUUUUUUCUUGCGAAAGCAGAAAUAUUUACUAAAAACAACUUUCAACAACGGAUCUCUUGGCUCCC